UACGGAGGAUGCAAGCGUUAUCCGGAAUGAUUGGGCGUAAAGCGUCCGCAGGUGGCUGUGUAAGUCUGCUGUUAAAGAGUCUAGCUCAACUAGAUACAAGCAGUGGAAACUACACGGCUAGAGUACGUUCGGGGCAGAGGGAAUUCCUGGUGUAGCGGUGAAAUGCGUAGAGAUCAGGAAGAACACCGGUGGCGAAGGCGCUCUACUGGGCCACAACUGACGCUGAGGGACGAAAGCUAGGGGAGCGAAAGGG
rnacentral:rRNA from 1 species